rnacentral:lncRNA from 1 species
AGCAGAGCCUGGGACUCAGUGGUUGCUGCGCCUAGGCCUCAGUUGUACCGUCUGUUAAGGGAAGGUGGACUAAAGGUCUCCCCACACUAAAUGGGAAAGGCACACCAUUGAGUGCUAUAUGUCCCCCCAUCUCAAGCCCACGGGCACCCCUGUGUUCACCCUCACCCAGUCCUGGCUGUGUGGCAGCCCCCAUCCCAACAGUCUCGGUCCUGAAACAUGAUGGUUAAGAGCUAGGCACUGGGGCCAGGGAUUUAGCUCAGUGGUUUUGCUGCCUGCUGCACAAGCGCAAGGACCCGAGUUCGAUCCCCAGUACCAAAAAAAAAAAAAAAAAAGAGCUGGGCAUUGGAGUCUCCCAGAACCACAUGGGGAAACUGGUUCUAUUAUUUCUUUGGGUCCAUGUUCUUCCUCUUGGUAUUGGAUUUUCUCAUCUGUAAAUUUGGGAUCAUCAUACUUUCCUCUUUUGAAAUAUGAAUAACACAAGGCACUGUGGUCUGUAGGCCAAUCGCAAGGCAUUGUCCAACUCCAAGGAGCACCUUAUUCAUCAGAGGCUGGGGUUAUACUGUGUAUAACCUGAUCAGCCAUAUCCAGCAUCCCAGGUGGUGACAGGGGUAUAGUACCUAUUUGUUGAUGCUUAUUGUUGUAUUUACUUUUCUUGAAGUCCAGGGUCCCAAGAGGAGGGGAGAAGCCUGAUUGGCUGAGACCCAGGCCAGCUCUGUCUCUUGACUCAUAUGUCUCUGCUUGUAGAUUGAGCCAGUACAUUUCCUACAGGAAAAGGGGACAACUUUCCCCAGAGCCCCUGUCCCGACUGUCAGUGUCAGGAGCCUGCCAGCCCCGCCUUUGUCCUGCAAGGGCCUAUGCCUCACGCCAUGGCUGACAAAAUCUCUCCUUUGCUGUGCAGGGUGUUGCUGGUGGAAGGCCGUGGUGACCAGACUCGUGGGCUGGAGCCUAGAGAUGAGAGUGCCCAGGGAAGAUGCAAGCCUGGCAGGCUGCAGGCUAACCUGUCGCUGAAGUGGGCCCCCAGGCUGGACCUGCCCUGGCCCGGCAUGCGCCUCUCUGUGCGCAGGGCGCUGCUGGCAGCCAGCUGUGCACUGGCCCUGGUGCUGGCCGUGCAGUUCGGACAAGAGGUGCUGGAUUGUCGUGCGGUGCUGGCGGGGCCACAGAGCCCCCGGUGGGCCAUGAAGCCAGAGAAGGAGGAGCUGGUGAUGCUGGGCACGAAUCACGUGGAGUACCGCUAUGGCAAGGCCAUGCCACUCAUCUUCGUGGGUGGCGUUCCUCGCAGUGGCACCACACUGAUGCGUGCCAUGCUGGAUGCACACCCUGAGGUGCGCUGUGGCGAGGAGACCCGAAUCAUCCCUCGAGUGCUGGCCAUGCGCCAGGCCUGGUCCAAGUCUGGCAAAGAGAAGCUACGGUUGGAUGAGGCAGGUGUGACAGACGAGGUAAUGGACUCUGCCAUGCAGGCCUUCAUCCUGGAAGUGAUUGCCAAGCAUGGUGAGCCGGCACGUGUACUGUGCAACAAGGACCCCUUCACACUCAAGUCCUCCGUCUACCUGUCACGCCUGUUCCCACUCCAAGUUCNNNNNNNNNNNNNNNNNNNNNNNNNNNNNNNNNNNNNNNNNNNNNNNNNNNNNNNNNNNNNNNNNNNNNNNNNNNNNNNNNNUUCCGGCUGA